GGCUUAUAAUUGAAGUCUAGUAUGAAUGGGAACACGGGAAUAUUCUGUCUUUAAUAUAUUAAAAGAAAUUACUAAUUAAGUGAAAAUUCUUAAAAGUAAGAAAAUAGACGAGAAGACCCUAGAAAUUUUUUAAUUUGAUUUUGUUGGGGCGACAGGGUAACAAAAAACUUACCUAAGGUAAUAGGAAAUUUUUUAGUGGUGUAAUUAAAUUACUCUAGGGAUAACAGCAUAAUAUUUUAAAGGUUGUGACCUCGAUGUUGGACUAGGA
rnacentral:rRNA from 1 species